CCCCAUUGAUAUGUUAUGAUUUGAAAUGAUAAUUAGCUUCUCAUUUACCUCUUAUUAAUUAUUUUUAAGAUACUUUUAGAUACAUAUUUUUUUUAAUUGUAAUUGUGUGAGGCUAAAGUGCACAUUUGUAAAUUUGGCCUCAAAUCAAAGUGAUUUAUUGCAAAUCAGAAACUUAACUGGUAGAAACAAAAUGAAACAAACAGCAUGGACCAAUAUUACAAAAUUGAAAAAUCUACUUGGACUAUAUUGCACAAUUAAAAGUCUUAGAAAAAAUUGGUGAAGAAACUUGAUCAUAUUAAAAUUUUGAGACAAAUUGGAGAAUAAACAAGAGUUGAAGGACCGAAUGUGAAAAUAGUCAAAAGUUGACCAUUGUUGCUCCAACCAAGCUUUCUCUUCGAGCUGUGAAUGAAUCAUAGGCGAUUUCAGUGUGGAAGAAGCUUAACAGCGUAGAAAGAGCAGUCCCGGAUUUAGCUUCAUCGUGACUGUGAAUCAAAGUGGGGCUCGUCGACAACGGAGCUCUCCGGCUGCUCCGUCACGUCGGUGCUGGCUUUUUACGGAGACAUAUUUGGGGAUUGAGCUUGGGCAUGGCUUGCAGAUGAAUCAACACGAAGAAGGUGGAUCUGAGCUCGGAGAUCGCGGUGGUGGCUUGAAGUUCAUCAUGUUGAGAGAUCCUGAUUUCCCGGAGAGAAAACUACAGUGGACACAGAGUCGCGACAUUGACAUAACGGAGCUCUCCGUUUACUUCAAGUGAUGAUUUUCCCGUCACCACCGCUGCUUUCAUCGUAAGGUUGAGCCCUCGUUGAUACAAUUACAAAAUAAUGGUUAAGAAGAAGAUAGAAUUAGUGAGUGGGUCCUACUAGUUAUGUCGUAGGUAUGCUUUGGUUAAAAAAAGAAAGAAAAAAAUUAAAAGAAAGUGUCAUAAGAGUAGAAACUGUGUUAUAGUGUAAUAAAAACACAAAAUGUGUCUUAGAGUAAAAAUCACACUUAUAAGAAUUUAAUGCUCUAUAUCUCUCCAACAUUUUCUAUUUAUUAUUUAUUUUUAAUCUAAAAACUAUAUAUUAUAAUAUGAGAAUUUUUGCUCUCUCCUAAGCAUGUCAUUACGUGGGUCCCACAUAAAAAACUGCGUUUUAUUUCUAGGAUUCUGUUAACUUUUUGCGUUUAAGUUUUGUAGUGGUUUUUGCGACACGAACCCAAUAAGAGCAUCAUUAUCCACACUACUUUAAGAAACAGUUUUUUAAAUUUUUAGUUGAAAAUUAAGAAACAGCUUCUUGCAUUUCUGUAAGAACGCCGCCCUAAGAAACCGUGGAUAAUGAUGAUCUUAAAAACAUAUUUUCCCUUACUCUCCAUUAUCGUCAUCUUCGAUGUCAAACCAGAUAUUUUCGUCAUCUUCAUCUUGAUGUAGAUUAGGGUUUUAAUUGGUUAAGUCUCCUCUGAGAAACAAAAAAUUACCCUUUUGAUUUCCAUGAAAAACCAUUAAUGUAUCUUCCUUCCUAUUUAUAACAUCAUGGAGAACACGAAAUCCCUUCAUCUCAAAUACAGUCUUUGCCGUCGCAGUUAUACCAACUCCUCCAAAUUUCGAUCUCUGGUGCUCCAGUUUCUCAAGCCGAUGUCCGCAACUCAAUGUUCAGACUCGCUCUGUCUUGGUCGCCUUCUCCGCUUUUGGGAUUCCCAUAUAACAUAAAAAAACAGUGAAUUUAUGGGAAUCACGUCCUCUUCCUCGAUGAAAAGAUAACGAGAUCUUUCUUCUAUCACCACUGAUCUGUUGUGUCUCUUCUAUAAUCGACGGUGACUGUUUUAAGACCACCGUAGUGGGAUCGAGCUAGGAGAGAGUGGAGUCGUAGAGUUCGUCUCCGAUGGAAAUGGCGAAGGAGAUGGUGAUUGAGUAGGAGUUGCGGCUGUUACUGAACUGAGGGAGAGAUUAGGAGAUAAUGGUUUGACCGAAUGUGGUGUUACAUAUCCCGGUGGAGCAGAUCAGUCGUGUCUUAUCCUUUGGUCUCCACAUACUGGCGAAAGAAAUCCAGCAAGUGCGUUGAGUCCUAACGUCGUCUAUAACGCCAUCAUUAACGACAACUUCCCAAUCCUCUCAUGAAUUUCCUCUCCCAUUACUUGGAUAGAGUGUAACUGCGAGUAUCAUAUGCAAUUCUCAAUCCCCUGCAAGUCAUCACUUUAUUCCUUUGACUCUCAAAUUCGGUACGAUAAUGGAAAAUUUGCAACGUCUGGUUUCGGAGUUGAAGCCUCGUAGGUAUAGGGAGACCGUUGUGACACGGCUUAUGCAUUUUUGGGAAGCAUAAAAUGUGAAUAAGGGUGGUGAUCUCAUGGCUGUUUAUAUUAAUUGCUUUGGUGUAUGAGAAGGUAUAUUUUUCUUAACUUAUGCUCUCAUAUUUUACACCAAAAGUAGAGCUUAUUAUUUCUAUUUUCAGAGAGCACCCUAUCCCUACGUUGAAAUCUUUCUUUGUAGUUACAAAAUGGUCAACUCUAGGACAAGACAAACAAGAGCAAAGGUGACUCUUUCUUGGCAUGUUCUUUGAAUCAUUGCCACUUCAUAAGAUUUCUCACGCACACAUCAGACACAUGAAACAGAUUUCCUCUUAGAGCUAUGAUUGUUGGAGUCUUCCAACAAAAUGGAUGGUCAUUUGUUCCCUGCACCGGCUGUAACAGGAAGUUGGAGAAAACGGGCACCUCCCUGCUACAUUUGUGUUUCUUCCAACAUCACCGGCGUUCUCAGGUUCUGUGUUGAGCUAGCUGUCACAGACAAUAACGAUAACGCAACUUUUGUUGUCUUCAACAAUGAGAUGACAAACUAAUCAAGGAAAAUGCAUAUGGCCUUUUUCUACAAGAGAUGCCUAGCGGUGGUUUCCAGGAUGCAAGUACUUUGUCUUCCAUAUACGUGUCACUCAAUACAAUCACAACCAGCACAAUCAUACCUUCGCCGUCUACGCAAUCAGAGAAAAUGUCUUCUUUGGCACUCAACCACAGACUUGCAGCAUCAACCAAACUACAAGAUGCGACAUCGAAGCUGGGCUACGUACAGCAUCUUCUAGCCACCAAGCUAAUGCGUCCAGCAAAAGAAUUGGGGAUGAUGAACCAAAUCCAGCGGGCUUGGAAGAGGAAGGAAACAGUUGCUAACGCCUCCAUUAGUGAUUCUUGCAGAUCACUCUUCCUGUCGCUCUACUUUCAGUUAUUGUCAUUUAAAAAAAACUAAGCUUUUGAUAUCAUAUUUCAUUAUUUUGUUUUAACAAUUUUCUUCAAACUUUCUAUGACGGGAUGAAAUAAUAUUUGCUCUUAAUCUUAACGGCCAGGGGAAUUUGCAUAUU